rnacentral:ncRNA from 2 species
AAAGUACAGCGCCUGGACAAACAAAUUACACGUCGUUUGUUGACGAGGAUAGAGCUUAUCGAAAAAUUCGGCGGAUGGCUCUAUGGCAUAUCUACUGUCAAAAAUAGCACACAAAGCCUAAUGGAAACUUUAGAACAAAGCUGCUAUU